rnacentral:rRNA from 1 species
UACAGAGGGUGCGAGCGUUACUCGGAAUUACUGGGCGUAAAGCGCGCGUAGGCGGCUUUGCAAGUCGGGUGUGAAAUCCCCAGGCUUAACCUGGGAACUGCAUUCGAGACUGCAUUGCUAGAGUAUGGGAGAGGGAAGUGGAAUUUCAGGUGUAGCGGUGAAAUGCGUAGAUAUCGGAAGGAACAUCAGUGGCGAAAGCGACUUCCUGGACCAAUACUGACGCUCAUGUGCGAAAGCGUGGGGAGCAAACAGG